CCACCUCAACGUAGCAUCUCUCAAUAGCUUGACCCCAAGCCUUCACCACAGGGCCCUUGGGGGACAUUCAAGAUUCACACCAUAAUACCAAUUUCUGCCCACUCAGGUGAAGAGGGAAGAGCAGGGUGAAAGAUCAGGCAACCAACACAGUGUGCUGUGUUCAGCUGACUUCAGAUCCAGAAGAAUGGCUCCCAUGUGUAUAGAGAUGCUGAGAGGAAGCAGCCUCUGAGACCAAGAGAACUGAGUGUGAAGGAGCGGCCCCUCCACGAGUCUCUCAGCAUCAUGGUAGAAGAAAAGAACAAUGGUGAGGCCAAGUGUCAGCUUUGGAAGUUCCUGCUCAAAGGAGAUGAGGGAAGUAAGGCUUGGAGAGGAUAUCAACCAGAAUGAAACCAGCUCCUGUGGAAUGUGUGUUUCAUCUGUUGAAGACAAGGAUGUCAGCAGUGAUCCAGUUGCAGGGUGUUUAUUACUGUGGAAAAGAUGGGCAUCACCCCUGAAGCAGACACAGAGAAUCAGGUGACACGAAGACAAAGCCAGCUGGAUCACUGCAAGAAGUGUCCUCAGGUGACCCAGGCUCUUCCACGAGAAAACAAGAAUGUCCUCACUGCUGCAAACAACAGAAGGCCUGCAGGAGAUGCAAGAGACCAGGACUGAGAACCCCAAGAUGAAAUGGAAUCCCAAAGAAUUCCUUGCACCUGUUUUUUGCUGCUGCAUCAUUGCUAGUGAUUCAGGGACAAAACAGCUCCCUAGGACUCCUAGCUAUCCAUGUGCUGCAGGACUUCAGCUGUUAUUUGUCAUCUGAACCUCUUGUAGCAAGCACGAAGCCAAAACAAAGUAUGGGAUGUGCCCAA